rnacentral:ncRNA from 1 species
AGAAUUUAAAAGGGGUGCUGCAAACCGCGGCUGAGAUGAUACCCAAUGAACCUGGAACAGGUAAUGCUGUUUAGGGAAUUGUUUAAAAAUAACC